GAGGGUGACUAAGUGAAUGCAGUUUGCCGUCGCGUGUCGCCGUAUCACAGCGAAGUCCACUGGCAGGCGGAUGGAUCGGACCCGAAUCAACAAAUGGAGACAGAAAAACUGGAUGUAUACUGCAUGUGAGGAGAAACCAAGGGAGGAUAUAGAGUCUGCCUUCAUAUCCUUUUAUCUUUGCAUCUAAUACUACUGUGAGGAACCCACAGGGAGGGAAAGAAAAACAGCGGACAACUCAUUUUUCCUCUAACACGUCUGUGAAGCAGAGGAGCUGUGAAUAGAGUGAGCUGUGGGACUCACUGGGAUUUCUGAAUAUAAGCUCAUUGCCAGUGUGUGAGUGUGUGUGUGUGAGAGAGCUGAUAAUAGCAGCUCCAUUGGUAUUCAGCGGAGGGAGCUCCAGGAUCUCGCUGCGCCUUUCCCCAGGAUGGGAUCACAGAGCAGGGAUUGUGCUUGCCUGUGGAGAGCCCGCUGAAAUGGAUCUGAAGCCUCGCAGAGAUGGGCACCAAAUGGACAGCAUGGAAGCCAACAUCCACCCUCCAGCGACCAGCUUUCCACGGCUAACUGCCUCCACCAUCUCCUGCCAUCAGCUCGAACCAUCCGAGCGAGGGCUGAGUCUGCAGAGUUGAGCCUGGACCAGCCGUCUACCGAAAGCAGAGAUAAGCAGAGGGCGACAGGCCUCGGAGGAGUCAACGCGCAACAAGCCAGUCGGCGUGUUGAGCGCACAAUUGAGCUUCUUGGACUUCAUCUAAAAUGAAAUAGGCUGCAGUGAUGCUUGAGCAAUGGUACGGAGCUUUUGGAUAUGUCCGGAUUUAUCAACCGGAUAUAUUUUUGAGAUUACGACACUUUGGUGCACACCUCAGAGCUCAGCCACUUUUUCCAGAUUGGCUUGUGGGCAAAAGCGAGUAAUUGAAAAUCCCCCCUCGAGAGGCGCUCUGUUUUGAUUUGUUGCGGGGGAGGAGGGCCUAUCAUUAUUGUUUUUUUUUCUUCUUUGUUUUUUUGAGGAACAAUUUCCAAAACACCCGGCUUUUAUCCCACAAACUUCCCCCAGUUUCUCUCACAUAUGGAGAAGUACAUUAUGAAGCAGUACCAUUCUUCUUCAUCCUCCCUCAGUGACGGAGAGAGAGGAGGGACAGACUGUCCAGAAUAGAUAACGAGCAAGGAGACUGGCACCGAGGAGAGGAGAAGGAGAACAAAAAAAAGGAAGAAGGAGAAGAAGCAGAAAACGGGGAAACAGGUGGAAAAAGAAAGAGAAGGAAGCCGACAGAGGGGGAAGAAAAAAAGCAGGGACGGCGAGAAAAUAAAGGACAGAAUUAACUAGGAUUGCACAGAAUCUUUUUGGAGACUCUUUGUAAUUCGUGUUGAGGCUAGU